ensembl:lncRNA
UUCACACACACUUUAACCAGAGCCACCUACACUGCAUUCUGACAUCUGACCCCAUCACUUCAGCAUUAAAAUAAUGGCAACAUUAAAAUUCAUGUAAUAAACUACCAAAAACAUGAUAAAACAACAUUGAAAAAACAAAUACAUAAAAAUGACAAAAAUACCAAAAAUUACUCAAACUUUUACGUUUACUGUGUUUUACUAUGGUAAUUCUCUGUUGUUUUACUGUGUUUUACUAUGGUAAAUCUCUGGUAUUUACUGUGUUUUACUAUGGUAAAUCUGUGUUUUACUAUGGUGAAUCUCUGGUGUUUACUGUGUUAAAUCGCUGCUACAGUACCUGUGGCGGUCGGAUCUUGCAGAUGCCCGUGUUCUCGGCGAUCUCUCGGAUCCUGCGGAUGAAGCUGAACGGAUCGCUGAAGUCCUGCCAGCUGGGCUCGAACACCGGACACUCCGGCGGAGCCUGAAACUCGCGGAAGAGCGCCAUAAGUGACCACUGCGCCACGGGCCGAGCGUCAGAUCAUGAUCACGGGUCGAAUCCUGUCUGCGUUCGUCAGCGGCUCAUUGCUCGGGACACAAACACGAGAGUUCAGCUGGGGGUGCUUGUUUAUUACGCGAACAAAAGUAGCUGCCGCUUCCGGUCACUUCCACUCACUUCCGCGCUCGUUUCUCUGCAUUCCACGCCUCAGUCGCCUUCAGCGAUCAUAUCCGUCAGUAAUCCGAGGGAUCCAGCGGGUUUAGUUCUGUAAUAAUCAGACUGUGCUCAAACAAUCGCUGGUAGCAUCUUCCGCUAGCCUCCGCGCAAAUGUUUCCGGAAGUGUAACCUUUCACCUUCCGCUGUACACGCUAGGAAAAGGUGCAUACCGCCACCUACUGUGUGGGAGUGUGUAACGACUAUAGAAUAUAAGACUAUAGAAUACCUUAAAGAGACUUUGGUAACAUCAUGACUUCAUUGUGAUCUUAAAUUCUUCUAAUUAAGCCACUUUCUUGCACAAUAAAUAAAUAAAUAAAGUCA